rnacentral:rRNA from 1 species
UACGGGGGGGGCAAGCGUUGUUCGGAAUUACUGGGCGUAAAGGGCUCGUAGGUGGCCAACUAAGUCAGACGUGAAAUCCCUCGGCUUAACCGGGGAACUGCGUCUGAUACUGGAUGGCUUGAGUUCGGGAGAGGGAUGCGGAAUUCCAGGUGUAGCGGUGAAAUGCGUAGAUAUCUGGAGGAACACCGGUGGCGAAGGCGGCAUCCUGGACCGACACUGACGCUGAGACGCGAAAGCGUGGGGAGCGAACAGG